AAAAGUGGUAUAAAAAUAAAGGACAAAACUUGUAAUUUUUCCUUUUAUUUAUUAUGCAUGCAUGUUUCUCUUUUGUUCUGGUUUUCUUAUUAAACUAUGAACCUUUUAGUGUAACUUAUUUCUUUUGGUACAUUUAUUAUUAUUUCUGCUCUUAGUUUAAUUAAAUUAAGAAUCUAUCUUUAAUUGGUUGAAAACGGAAAAGCUCAGCAAGUACUCAGCAAAUCUCAACGCUCAUAUAGAAUUGUUAGAUAUUGCUGGCCUUGUGAAGGAGAGCUGUGAUACCCGAUUAUUUUUAUUUAUUUAAUACUAGUUUAUUCUUUAGAAAUAAAUAAAGUUAACGAGAUUUAUGGUUAUGGUUUUUUUUUUCCUUACGUUUAUAAUAUGAUGUGAUAAAUAUGAAUAAUUAUGUUUUUUUUAAGACUAAAUAAAUUAUUUGUUACGACUAUAAUUAGUAUAAUGCAAAGGUAUUAGGUAAUUUACUUUUGAAUUCAAAUAAUAGAAUUUGGUUUCUGUUUGACUACUUUUCUUUCUAUGGUUAAAUAAUAAAUAAUAAAUCUCAAGGAGAUAAAGAAAAAUGAUAUGUUAUUACGAUAGGUUUGCAAAUAUGUAGGGAUUAUGUGAAUAAGUGUUAGUAAUUCAAAUGACUAUUUUCCUUUAUUAUCCAAUCAUCCAUUCCAUGAAUGUUGGCUGAAAUCUCUACCGAAUUAAACCACAAAUAAGGAUGAAGCCCUCCCAUAAAUACAUAGACGCAUACUCUAGGUAAACAUUAGACAUAGAUUUAGGGAGAAGACGAAAGCUUCUGUUCGAGUUGUUCCGGAGCGUGGCCGUCAUUUGAGUCUUGUUAAGGCGUUCCCGAGAGAGGCGAUCACAACGUUGUUUGACUAGUUAACUUUGUUAAGGUUAGUUAAGAUUGUUAGACAUGAAGCCGGUGAGGAACGGGUAGAGAAACUUUCACAGGACGUUUAUGUUAUUAAUUAUAUGUAAAGGUUCGUUUAUGAUUCUGUUGUUGCUAUGAACGACAAGUAACACCCAACUUUUUUUUUGACAAUUAAAUCAUUUUUUUUAAAUGGUUUUAUGGUUUAAAUAUAUGACUGGGAGUUUCCGCUGCGAAAGAAAUUAUUGAAAUCUAAUAUUUUUAUUAAAGAAAAAUGCGGGGUGUUACAAGAGCAGUUAAGAAAAUACUUGCAGACUGUUAUAAGAUGAUUGAAACUGGCGAAGGUGUUGAUUGGGCAGUUGCAGAAGCGUUAGCGUUUGCAACGUUACUGGUGGAAGGAAAUCACGUGAGAUUACCCGGUAACCCACCCGUCCGUAGGCACGACGGUGAAAUUACCAGUAAAACCCGUUUGGCUCAAGAACCCAACCCAGGUUUCCCUGGGUCUCCUAUCAUUGCCCACCAGUGCCUCACUCCGCACCAAGUGGGAGUUGAACCUGCAUCUUUCAAGAGAAAUGCAAACCUUCCACCACUUGAUCUAGAGAUCAUUGGCGGUAUGUGGCCAUUGAAACAUAUUUUUCUUAUAAUAUAUUCUAGUGUACACUUGCUUAACUUGUGAUACGAGGGUAUCAUAUCCAAAAUCUGAGUUCUUGAUUGGAACUCAAAGUAGCAAGCUUUCUUAAGGGGGGUGGGGGUGGUCACUAGUGAUAGAAUUCCAUCACUCACAAUAUCCAAUCAUGUUCCGCCAUGUCAGCAAUCAUUUUUCCAUCACUCACAAUCUUUUUUAGUGGCGGUGGUCAUCACUCACCACCACACCCAACAAUUUCCCCCCAACCAACAAUUACCCUCGCCAAAAAAACCAUCACGCCGUUAAAAAAAUAACGAAAUCGGGUUUUCGUUAUUGUAUCACGCGUUGAACAAAGAGUGGCGGCAGCUAUUUUAUGCUAUCACGCGUUGAUUUUGUUCCGCCCCCAUGUAAACCCUC